rnacentral:rRNA from 1 species
UACAGAGGUCUCAAGCGUUGUUCGGAUUCAUUGGGCGUAAAGCGCGCGUAGGCGGCUACCUAAGUCGGAUGUGAAAGCCCCUGGCUUAACCGGGGAAGUGCACCCGAAACUGAGUAGCUAGAGUGCAAAAGAGGGUCGCGGAAUUCCCAGUGUAGAGGUGAAAUUCGUAGAUAUUGGGAGGAACACCGGUGGCGAAGGCGGCGACCUGGGUUGACACUGACGCUGAGGCGCGAAAGCGUGGGGAGCAAACAGG